GACGAACGCUGGCGGCGUGCUUAACACAUGCAAGUCGAGCGGUAAGGCCCUUUCGGGGUACGACGAGCGGCGAACGGGUGAGUAACACGUGGGUGACCUGCCCUCCAGCUCUGGGAGUAAGCCUGGGAAACCGGGUCUAAUACUGGAUAUGACUCCAUGACGCAUGUUGUGGGGUGGAAAGCCUUGUGCGGCUGAGGAUGGGCCCGCGGCCUAUCAGCUUGUUGGUGGGGUGAGGCCUACCAAGGCGACGACGGGUAGCCGGCCUGAGAGGGCGACCGGCCACACUGGGACUGAGACACGGCCCAGACUCCUACGGGAGGCAGCAGUGGGGAAUCUUGCGCAAUGGGCGAAAGCCUGACGCAGCGACGCCGCGUGAGGGAUGACGGCCU
rnacentral:rRNA from 1 species